rnacentral:pre_miRNA from 1 species
AAUAAAUACAAUUUUACACUAUUUACGUUCAACGUUUAACCGUUCGUUUUAUUUGAAAUUUUUUUAUAAUUAAUAUUUUUAUUGUUAUUAGAUGAUAAAACAUGAAAAAUACUUUAUGUGUGACUAAAUAUUUUCAAAUUUUUCACAAUUUUUUUAAAUAAGACGGACGGUCAAACGUUGGGCACGGAUAUCCAUGGCUGCACUUAUU